rnacentral:rRNA from 1 species
AUGUUUGUUGCUCAGCUAGCUAGAAAGCAAGAAGUCAAUCCAGCUUUUUUCUACGAUUUUGUUGUCAGCCGUGAGGGGAAGUUGAUGUAUGUGUUUUGGACAGAUGCCAUGAGUAGGAAAAACUACAAUCACUUCGGUGGUGAUGGUGUGGUAUCCUUUGAUUCUACUUACACUACUAAUCAAUACAACAUGAUCUUUGCACCAUUUACGGGGGUCAAUCAUCACUUACAAAGUGUGUUUUUUGGCGCGGCAUUCUUGAUAAAUGAGCAGACUCAGUCAUAUGUUUGGUUAUUUGAGACCUUCCUUACAGCAAUGGGAGGGGGUAGCACCUAG